GCUUUCUCCGAGAGAAUCACUUCACUCCUUGUUUUGGCAAAAGCAGGAAGGUAGAACAUACGCUGCCAUGAGACUGACUGGUAUGAGGAUCUUUCUGCAGUUGCUUGCAAUUGCUCUGGCGUGCAGCAUGGUCUCGUCGUUUCCUUCAAAUAGUCAGGACUGCCGUGAAGUCGCCUGCCCACAGUACUAUGUCGAAAACUGCACUCCAAAAUACCCGCCGGGAUGGUGCUGCCCAGACUGGUCCCACUGUAACCAGGGUGGCCCCUUACCAUUCUGAACAUCGCACAGGUGAGAAAAGCCUUUGGUGACAGUCACCUGCUGAUUCUAGACGUUUUCUCAGCAACUGAAUAAAGAUUCUGAGUCUG